GACGAACGCUGGCGGCGUGCUUAACACAUGCAAGUCGAACGGAAAGGCCCUGCUUUUGCGGGGUGCUCGAGUGGCGAACGGGUGAGUAACACGUGAGUAACCUGCCCUUGACUUUGGGAUAACUUCAGGAAACUGGGGCUAAUACCGGAUAGGAGCUCCUGCUGCAUGGUGGGGGUUGGAAAGUUUCGGCGGUUGGGGAUGGACUCGCGGCUUAUCAGCUUGUUGGUGGGGUAGUGGCUUACCAAGGCUUUGACGGGUAGCCGGCCUGAGAGGGUGACCGGCCACAUUGGGCCUGCGAUACGGCCCAGACUCCUACGGUAGGCAGCAGUGGGGAAUAUUGCACAAUGGGCGGAAGCCUGAUGCAGCAACGCCGCGUGCGUGAUGACGGCCUUCGGGUUGUAAACCGCUUUCGCCUGUGACGAAGCGUGAGUGACGGUAAUGGGUAAAGAAGCACCGGCUAACUACGUG
rnacentral:rRNA from 1 species